rnacentral:tRNA from 2 species
GGUCCGGUGGUGUAGUUGGUUUAUCACGUCAGUCUAACACACUGAAGGUCCGCGGUUCGAGCCCGCGCCAGAUCA